rnacentral:rRNA from 1 species
GACGAACGCUGGCGGCGUGCCUAACACAUGCAAGUCGAACGGACAGGACCUUCGGGGUACUCGAGUGGCGAACGGGUGAGUAACACGUGGGUGAUCUGCACCGCACUUUGGGAUAAGCCCGGGAAACUGGGACUAAUACCGAUUAGGACCACGCGCACCACGGGGCGUGGGGGAGAGCUUUUGCGGUGUGGGAUGGGUGCGCUGCCUAUCAGAUUGAUGGUGGGGUAAUGGACUACCAAGCCGACGACGGGGAGCCGGCCUGGGCGGGGGACCGGCUACACUGGGAUGGAGAUGCGGCCCAGCCUCCUACGGGAGGCAGCGGUGGAGAAGAGUGCACAGUGGGCGGAAGCCUGAUGCAGCGACGCCGCGUGGGGGAUGACGGCAAGCGGGCUGUAUACCUCUUUCAAGAGGGACGAAGCGCAAGUGACGGUACCUAUAGAAGAAGCACCGGCCAACUACGUG